AGAGUUUGAUCAUGGCUCAGGACGAACGCUGGCGGCACGCUUAACACAUGCAAGUCGAACGAGAGAAGAGGAGCUUGCUUUUCUGAUCUAGUGGCGGACGGGUGAGUAACACGUGAGCAAUCUGCCUUUCAGAGGGGGAUACCGAUUGGAAACGAUCGUUAAUACCGCAUAACAUAAUUGAACCGCAUGAUUUGAUUAUCAAAGAUUUAUCGCUAAAAGAUGAGCUCGCGUCUGAUUAGCUAGUUGGUAAGGUAACGGCUUACCAAGGCGACGAUCAGUAGCCGGACUGAGAGGUUGAUCGGCCACAUUGGGACUGAGACACGGCCCAGACUCCUACGGGAGGCAGCAGUGGGGAAUAUUGCACAAUGGAGGAAACUCUGAUGCAGCGAUGCCGCGUGAGGGAAGAAGGUUUUAGGAUUGUAAACCUCUGUCUUCAGGGACGAAAAAAGACGGUACCUGAGGAGGAAGCUCCGGCUAACUACGUGCCAGCAGCCGCGGUAAUACGUAGGGAGCAAGCGUUGUCCGGAAUUACUGGGUGUAAAGGGAGCGUAGGCGGGAUCGCAAGUCAGAUGUGAAAACUAUGGGCUUAACCCAUAAACUGCAUUUGAAACUGUGGUUCUUGAGUGAAGUAGAGGUAAGCGGAAUUCCUAGUGUAGCGGUGAAAUGCGUAGAUAUUAGGAGGAACAUCAGUGGCGAAGGCGGCUUACUGGGCUUUAACUGACGCUGAGGCUCGAAAGCGUGGGGAGCAAACAGGAUUAGAUACCCUGGUAGUCCACGCCGUAAACGAUGAUUACUAGGUGUGGGGGGACUGACCCCUUCCGUGCCGCAGCAAACGUAAUAAGUAAUCCACCUGGGGAGUACGACCGCAAGGUUGAAACUCAAAGGAAUUGACGGGGGCCCGCACAAGCAGUGGAGUAUGUGGAUUAAUUCGAAGCAACGCGAAGAACCUUACCAGGUCUUGACAUCGUAUGCAUAGCUCAGAGAUGAGUGAAAUCUCUUCGGAGACAUAUAGACAGGUGGUGCAUGGUUGUCGUCAGCUCGUGUCGUGAGAUGUUGGGUUAAGUCCCGCAACGAGCGCAACCCUUACUGUUAGUUGCUACGCAAGAGCACUCUAGCAGGACUGCCGUUGACAAAACGGAGGAAGGUGGGGAUGACGUCAAAUCAUCAUGCCCCUUAUGACCUGGGCCUCACACGUACUACAAUGGCUGUCAACAGAGGGAAGCAAAGCCGCGAGGUGGAGCGAACCCCUAAAAGCAGUCUUAGUUCGGAUUGUAGGCUGCAACCCGCCUACAUGAAGUCGGAAUUGCUAGUAAUCGCAGAUCAGCAUGCUGCGGUGAAUACGUUCCCGGGCCUUGUACACACCGCCCGUCACGCCAUGGGAGUCGGUAACACCCGAAGCCUGUAGUCUAACCGCAAGGAGGACGCAGUCGAAGGUGGGAUUGAUGACUGGGGUGAAGUCGUAACAAGGUA
rnacentral:rRNA from 1 species